GCCACUGAAACAUCUGUUCUCGUAUGAUCACUGAAGUUAAGCAUCAUCGGGCCGAGUCAGUACCGAGAUAUGUUACCGACUGGGAAUACCAGGUGAUGU